CACAGAGAGCUCAGAUCUCAAUUGUUGAUAGACUAUCGUUGCUACGGUGACUGCAACCGACCACCUUUGAAACACAACUGAAACGCAACUCACGGCUGCUGCUGACAAGGGCAUUCACAUAUUUAUUCGUAAAACCAUUUUAUUUUUUGGUGGAUGAAAACAUUGUGUCAAUAUGCUAUGUCUAUGUUCGCCUUAUUCACCCGGAACGUUCUAAAGACGUUGAGGGGUACACUUCAGGGGUACAUUCGGCAACGCACCAGCUGUCAUGGCGCCUCACUGUUGUGUGCCCAAAUGUUCGUCCUCAAAGAGAAAAAAAAUCCUACCGUGGACAGACUUUCCACCGUUUCCCCAAAGAGCAGGCACUUCGCCGUGGAUGUAUAAAUCACAUCUAGAGGGGUCCUGGUCCAUAUUUCAAGAUCAACGCUGAGACCAAGGUUUGCUCUGAGCACUUUGAGAAGCAGUGUUUUGUAAAGACCACCCGUGUUAUCACAAAGCUUAUAAAGGAUGCUGUGCCAACUUUCGCCUGGACUUCAGAGAGGCCAAAGAGGAGAAUCAUCAUUCGCAGACCGAGAGAUGAUGACCCAUUCCUGAAGUUGGACGCCAGAAUGCAGGAAGGUGCUGUUUAAGAGCCUAGGCGGUGGAAGAAGCACUUGCAGGUAUGCUACCGACCAGGCUCCUCAACACCAAUCCGAGACGGAAGAUGAAACGGGAUGAAGCAGUUAGAUUGAGACAAGGCGGCCGGAAACUUUGAUGACCUCAAUGACACUGGCUAGGUGAAGGACAUCAACAAAAUGGCAUCAGGUCACCAGACAUCAGCUCAUAAUCCACAACAUCAUCAACCAUUUUGCGCCAAAAAUGAAGCCGUUCACAUACCAUGGCAUCCUAAGCAGGCAGCACUACACUACUAUGCAACAGUGAGAGAGAGCGGGCAAGGACAAGUAAAGCGGACCUACACUACAGCAAGACUUUGACACUUCUCCACGUUCGAG